GGAGCGGCAGACGGGUGAGUAACGCGUGGGAAUCUACCGUACCCUACGGAAUAGCUCCGGGAAACUGGAAUUAAUACCGUAUACGCCCUACGGGGGAAAGAUUUAUCGGGGUAUGAUGAGCCCGCGUUGGAUUAGCUAGUUGGUGGGGUAAAGGCCUACCAAGGCGACGAUCCAUAGCUGGUCUGAGAGGAUGAUCAGCCACAUUGGGACUGAGACACGGCCCAAACUCCUACGGGAGGCAGCAGUGGGGAAUAUUGGACAAUGGGCGCAAGCCUGAUCCAGCCAUGCCGCGUGAGUGAUGAAGGUCUUAGGAUUGUAAAGCUCUUUCACCGAUGAAGAUAAUGACGGUAGUCGGAGAAGAAGCCCCGGCUAACUUCGUGCCAGCAGCCGCGGUAAUACGAAGGGGGCUAGCGUUGUUCGGAAUUACUGGGCGUAAAGCGCACGUAGGCGGAUAUUUAAGUCAGGGGUGAAAUCCCAGAGCUCAACUCUGGAACUGCCUUUGAUACUGGGUAUCUUG
rnacentral:rRNA from 1 species